GCGUUGGAUGUGCAGUGGUUUAGCACGCGUCCCUGGAUAGGACGAAAUGUGGGUUCGAAUCCCAUCUGAUGCA